rnacentral:rRNA from 1 species
GAGGAAGGUCCCCCACAUUGGAACUGAGACACGUUCCAAACUCCUACGGGAGGCAGCAGUGAGGAAUAUUGGUCAAUGGGCGCAGGCCUGAACCAGCCAAGUAGCGUGAAGGAUGACUGCCCUAUGGGUUGUAAACUUCUUUUAUAAAGGAAUAAAGUCGGGUAUGUAUACCCGUUUGCAUGUACUUUAUGAAUAAGGAUCGGCUAACUCCGUGCCAGCAGCCGCGGUAAUACGGAGGAUCCGAGCGUUAUCCGGAUUUAUUGGGUUUAAAGGGAGCGUAGAUGGAUGUUUAAGUCAGUUGUGAAAGUUUGCGGCUCAACCGUAAAAUUGCAGUUGAUACUGGAUAUCUUGAGUGCAGUUGAGGCAGGCGGAAUUCGUGGUGUAGCGGUGAAAUGCUUAGAUAUCACGAAGAACUCCGAUUGCGAAGGCAGCCUGCUAAGCUGCAACUGACAUUGAGGCUCGAAAGUGUGGGUAUCAAACAGGAUUAGAUACCCUGGUAGUCCACACGGUAAACGAUGAAUACUCGCUGUUUGCGAUAUACAGCAAGCGGCCAAGCGAAAGCGUUAAGUAUUCCACCUGGGGAGUACGCCGGCAACGGUGAAACUCAAAGGAAUUGACGGGGGCCCGCACAAGCGGAGGAACAUGUGGUUUAAUUCGAUGAUACGCGAGGAACCUUACCCGGGCUUGAAUUGCAGAGGAAGGAUUUGGAGACAAUGACGCCCUUCGGGGUCUCUGUGAAGGUGCUGCAUGGU